rnacentral:rRNA from 1 species
UUAACCUGCUAAAUAGGAUCAGGAACUUCGUGUUCUUGUAUCACUUCUUAGAGGGACUUUGCGUGUCUAACGCAAGGAAGUUUGAGGCAAUAACAGGUCUGUGAUGCCCUUAGAUGUUCUGGGCUGCACGCGCGCUACACUGAUGCAUCCAACGAGUUUAUAACCUUGGCCGAUAGGUCUAGGUAAUCUUGUGAGUAUGCAUCGUGAUGGGGAUAGAUUAUUGCAAUUAUUAAUCUUCAACGAGGAAUGCCUAGUAGGCGCAAGUCAGCAGCUUGCGCCGAUUACGUCCCUGCCCUUUGUACACACCGCCCGUCGCUCCUACCGAUUGAGUGUUCCGGUGAAUUAUUCGGACCGUUUUGUGGCGCGUUCGUGCCCGAAAUGGGAAGUUUUGUGAACCUUAACACUUAGAGGAAGGAGAAGUCGUAACAAGGU